UUACACAGUACCGAUAUUGUGA
rnacentral:miRNA from 1 species